UGGGGAAUAUUGCACAAUGGAGGGAACUCUGAUGCAGCGACGCCGCGUUAGUGAUGAAGGAAUUCGUUUCGUAAAACUCUGUUCUAUGGGAAGAAAAGGACUGUACCAUAGGAGAAAGCUCCGGCUAAAUACGUGCCAGCAGCCGCGGUAAUACGUAUGGAGCGAGCGUUGUCCGGAAUUAUUGGGCGUAAAGGGUGCGCAGGCGGCUUUACAAGUUGGAUGUGAAAUAUUGUGGCUCAACCACAAACGUGCAUCCAAAACUGCAAAGCUUGAGUUAAGGAGAGGUAAGUGGAAUUGCUGGUGUAGCGGUGGAAUGCGUAGAUAACAGGAGGAAUACCGGUGGCGAAGGCGACUUACUGGACUUAAACUGAAGCUCAGGCACGAAAGCGUGGGGAGCAAACAGG
rnacentral:rRNA from 1 species